UGCCAGCCGCCGCGGUAAUACAGAGGGUGCAAACGUUGCUCGGAAUUACUGGGCGUAAAGCGUGUGUAGGCGGUCUGCUAAGUCGGAUGUGAAAGCCCCGGGCUUAACCUGGGAAUUGCAUUCGAUACUGGUAGACUUGAAUUUGGUAGAGGAAAGUGGAAUUCCGGGUGUAGCGGUGAAAUGCGUAGAUAUCGGAAGGAACACCAGUGGUGAAGGCGACUUCCUGGGCCAAUACUGACGCUGAGGUGCGAAAGCGUGGGGAGCAAACAGGAUUAGAUA
rnacentral:rRNA from 1 species